rnacentral:rRNA from 1 species
ACUCGUUGAAUAGUCUGGUAGCAAAUGUUUGGUAUUAUUGGCUCGGCCUUACAACACAACAAACAAGUUUGACCUCAAAUCAGGUAGGACUACCCGCUGAACUUAAGCAUAUCAAUAAGCGGAGGAAAAGAAACCAACAGGGAUUGCCUUAGUAACGGCGAGUGAAGCGGCAAAAGCUCAAAUUUGAAAUCUGGCACCUUCGGUGCCCGAGUUGUAAUUUGAAGAAGGUAACUUUGGGAUUGGCUCUUGUCUAAGUUCCUUGGAACAGGACGUCACAGAGGGUGAGAAUCCCGUGCGAUGAGAUGACCAAUCCUAUGUAAAGUGCUUUCGAAGAGUCGAGUUGUUUGGGAAUGCAGCUCUAAGUGGGUGGUAAAUUCCAUCUAAAGCUAAAUAUUGGCGAGAGACCGAUAGCGAACAAGUACAGUGAUGGAAAGAUGAAAAGAACUUUGAAAAGAGAGUGAAAAAGUACGUGAAAUUGUUGAAAGGGAAGGGCUUGAGAUCAGACUUGGUAUUUUGCAUUCCUUACCUUCGUGGUGGGGUUCCUUGCAGUUUACUGGGCCAGCAUCGGUUUGGAUGGUGGGAUAAUGACAUUGGAAUGUGGCUCUGCUUCGGUAGAGUGUUAUAGCCAGUGUUGAUACCGCCUGUCUAGACCGAGGACUGCGUCUUUGACUAGGAUGCUGGCAUAAUGAUCUUAAGUCGCCCGUCUUGAAACACGGACCAAGGAGUCUAACGUCUAUGCGAGUGUUUGGGUGUAAAACCCGUACGCGUAAUG